rnacentral:rRNA from 1 species
GACGAACGCUGGCGGCGUGCCUAAUACAUGCAAGUAGAACGCUGAAGGAGGAGCUUGCUUCUCUGGAUGAGUUGCGAACGGGUGAGUAACGCGUAGGUAACCUGCCUGGUAGCGGGGGAUAACUAUUGGAAACGAUAGCUAAUACCGCAUAACAGUAGAUAUCGCAUGAUAUCUACUUGAAAGGUGCAAUUGCAUCACUACCAGAUGGACCUGCGUUGUAUUAGCUAGUUGGUGAGGUAACGGCUCACCAAGGCGACGAUACAUAGCCGACCUGAGAGGGGGAUCGGCCACACUGGGACUGAGACACGGCCCAGACUCCUACGGGAGGCAGCAGUAGGGAAUCUUCGGCAAUAGACGGAAGUCUGACCGAGCAACGCCGCGUGAGUGAAGAAGGUUUUCGGAUCGUAAAGCUCUGUUGUAAGAGAAGAACGAGUGUGAGAGUGGAAAGUUCACACUGUGACGGUAUCUUACCAGAAAGGGACGGCUAACUACGUG